AUAAUGCACACCACCAUGAAAGAAUAGUACGGCUCUGCACAGUAUAACAGAUUUCCAUUCCACCUUCUCUACACACUGCAACGAUUUUCAUUCCACCUUUUCUCCGCGCAUUUAACUUUCUCUCCGCACUGCAAAGAUUCCAUUUAACAAAGUUUUUCAUUCCAUCAACUUUCUCGACUUUCACGCAAACCUCUGAACGGAGGCAAACAAGACUAAUCGACACAUGGAGAUGGAUCCGGCAAAGAACGCAAAGAUAGACUACUCAACUUUAUGGGGAAGACUAAUUUCUCAUUGUAAAGAGACACUCCAGAUAGAAGCUGACAAUGCAAAGAGGGCAAAGUCUUUUCAAACAAAGAAUAAGUUAGCUGAAAAGGAAAGAAGAAGAUUUGAUGAAAAUUUGAUGAAAAAUAUCAAGAAUCCAAAUGAUAUAGUAAUUUCAUUUCAAGAUUUUCCAUUCUUCUUAAGUGAUGAUACAAAGAGUUUUAUGAUUGCUUCUAGUGGCAUUCACCUUGAUGCAAGCUUGGCAGAAGUUAGAAAUUUGGCUCCCAAAUCUCUUUUUGAGACACCGAGGAUUUUGUUAUUAGGCCCAUCAGAAUUUUAUCAGGAAGCUGUGUCCAAGGCCAUUGCUAAGCAUUUUGAUGCCAGAUUACUCAUCGUGGAUUUACUUUCAUUUUCUGCUUUUUCUCUUUGGGGCACUACUAUAAAGGAAGCCGAAUCUUCUAAAAGAAAUUCCAAGAAAAAAAUAAGAUUAGAAACACAUUUCUUUGAAGCAGGUUCUAGAGUAUCAUAUCGGAAUGUAAUUGGUGUCAACGUACCAGGGGAACCUAUAAAUGGCUCUACCGGCUUAGUUCUACUUAACUUUGAAGAUAAUACGCGUGUAAAAGUUGGAGUUAAGUUCGACAAAUAUUUCCAAGGGGGAAAUGACCUUGGAGGCAUUUGUUAGGUGGGUUAUGGUUAUUUUUGUAAAGCUCUAUAUUUACACUUGCUUGAAACUCCAAGUGAAAAAGAUGAUUUUCACAACAAAAUCAUGAACAAUAUAUUUGAGUUUGCUUCCAAUCAAGCUAAAAGAGGGUCACUCGUUGUGCUCCUUCAAAACUUAGAGAAGGCUCUGCAGGGAGAAUGGCAUGUAUUGGAGAAUGUUGUUGAAAAUUUGCCAUCUAACGUUGUGUUAAUUGCUUCUCACACAAAAGUUUUUGAAGAGAAGACUCAAACUAAGAAAAAACAAGGGCCAUCACCAUUUUUUUUACUCCAGGAAAAAAUUAGUAGACAAAUGGAAGAAAGCAACAAUUCCAUUGAUGAAUUUAUGGAUCAAAUUGGUGGCCUUUUCCCUAAUAAGUUCACUAUACAGCUUCCUAAGGAUCAUACCUCUCUAUCUAGUUCGAAUCAGCAGUUGGAGCAUCACGUUAGAAGUAUAAAUGCCCAAUUAAAUGCUGUCAGAGCAUCACGUUAGAAGUAUAAAUGCUCAAUUAAAUGCUGUCACCAUUAGCUCUGAAAUUCCAAAUGUGUGCUUAUCCAAGACUUGUUUGAAGACUGACCUAUCAAGUUUCCUACAAAAGAUAAUGCUUGGCAUUGUGAUAAUUGAGUAUGACAUUUUAUUGCAACUCUAAUUGUUCUUUAGUAAGCACAAUUGUUUCAAUGAAUUUCUGGUAACCAAUUUUAAUUAUGGUUAGGAGAUAUUUGACAGAAGAAGACUCUCCAUCAACACACUCAAAUGAUCAUAACAAAAAUCAUCAAAAUGAAGAACUUAUGUUGAAAGUUUUCCGUCACUCAUCUUAUAUAUUUCUCUUUGUUUCUUAGCUAAAUUGUAGCUUAAUUUGUUUCAUAAAGUCCAAUGGGGGCUCUUAUACUAGUUUUCACAUAUAUAGAAUAUAAUAGAAAUUCAACCUGCCGAUUUAUUUAUAGAACUAAGACUAUUAAAUAGUCAAAACAACUAGGUACAAGAAAAUAACACAUUCGAGAAAUAGUCACACGACUAUAAAUAAAUGAAAAAUUACUUCCUAAAAGACUACGACAAAUAAAAACAACAAGGCUAUUAUUCAACCUACAACAAUAAUUAAAAACAACAACAAAUAUAUUUUCUUUGAAAAAUUUAAAUAAAAAGAAAUGAAGAGAAAGGCUUUAAGUGUAACAAUCAAAAUCCAAGAACUGGUUUCCACGCGCCUUGAACAGAAGCAUCAUUAGGUUUCCUCGCGCCUUGAAAGAACUGGGUGUAGUAGGAAAGUAUUUGCGUCCGAGUACCAGGCAAAUAUAACAAACCUUCCAUUCUCUUUCUCAAUUCUUCUGCAACAAUUUCACUAUGUAAAAGCUUUGAAAGGAUUAGUACAUUUUUCUAUUGUUAUAUAUUAUAAUUUAUAUAACUAGCAAAGGACCCGUGCGUUCGCACGGGUCACACAAUGUCGAUACAAAUUUUAAAUAAAUUUUAUUUAGUUAUGGUUAAGAAAUGUAUAAAUAAAUAUGUUCGAAUUAAGAGAAAAAAUAUUUUAAAUAAUGAUUGUCAUAUAAAUAUUAAUUUAAUUUAUCAUUUUAUAGUAGUUGUCCGGAUAUACAUAAAAACUAUAGUUAAAAAUAUAUGAGUAGAUGGUGUAGUAAACUUCACCCAGACACGUAUAUAAAAUCGAUUAUCUAACCACGCAUUCGCACGGGUCGCGCAAUAUCGUUAUAAAUUGUAAAUAAAUAUAGUAUAGUGAUG